rnacentral:rRNA from 1 species
AGAGUUUGAUCCUGGCUCAGGAUGAACGCUGGCGGCGUGCUUAACACAUGCAAGUCGAGCGAAGCACUCUGUCUGAUUUCUUCGGAUUGAAGACAGUUUGA